rnacentral:tRNA from 1 species
GUUUUAAUAAUUUAAGAAAAAAUACUGGUCUUGUAAAUCAGCAAUAAGUUAAUCUUUUAAAACU